GUGUCAGCAGCCGCGGUAAUACGGGGGGGGCGAGCGUUGUUCGGAAUUACUGGGCGUAAAGGGCGCGUAGGCGGUCUGCUAAGUUGGAUGUGAAAACUCUGGGCUUAACCCAGAGCCUGCAUUCAAAACUGACAGGCUAGAGUUCUGGAGGGGGAAGCGGAAUUCCUGGUGUAGCGGUGAAAUGCGUAGAUAUCAGGAGGAACACCGGUGGCGAAGGCGGCUUCCUGGACAGAAACUGACGCUGAGGCGCGAAAGCUAGGGGAGCAAACAGGAUUAGAUACCCGCGUAGUCC
rnacentral:rRNA from 1 species